rnacentral:rRNA from 1 species
UACGAAGGGUGCAAGCGUUAAUCGGAAUUACUGGGCGUAAAGCGCGCGUAGGUGGUUCAGCAAGUUGGAUGUGAAAGCCCUGGGCUCAACCUGGGAACUGCAUCCAAAACUACUGAGCUAGAGUACGGUAGAGGGUAGUGGAAUUUCCAGUGUAGCGGUGAAAUGCGUAGAGAUUGGAAGGAACAUCAGUGGCGAAGGCGGCCACCUGGACUGAUACUGACGCUGAGGUGCGAAAGCGUGGGUAGCAAACAGGAUUAGAUACCCUUGUAGU